rnacentral:rRNA from 1 species
CGGCGCACGGGUGAGUAACACGUAUCCAACCUGCCGUCUACUCUUGGACAGCCUUCUGAAAGGAAGAUUAAUACAAGAUGGCAUCAUGAGUCCGCAUGUUCACAUGAUUAAAGGUAUUCCGGUAGACGAUGGGGAUGCGUUCCAUUAGAUAGUAGGCGGGGUAACGGCCCACCUAGUCUUCGAUGGAUAGGGGUUCUGAGAGGAAGGUCCCCCACAUUGGAACUGAGACACGGUCCAAACUCCUACGGGAGGCAGCAUG